rnacentral:rRNA from 2 species
GGCGGCAUGCCUAAUACAUGCAAGUCGAACGAGCUUCCGUUGAAUGACGUGCUUGCACUGAUUUCAACAUUGAAGCGAGUGGCGAACUGGUGAGUAACACGUGGGAAAUCUGCCCAGAAGCAGGGGAUAACACUUGGAAACAGGUGCUAAUACCGUAUAACAACAAAAUCCGCAUGGAUUUUGUUUGAAAGGUGGCUUCGGCUAUCACUUCUGGAUGAUCCCGCGGCGUAUUAGUUAGUUGGUGAGGUAAAGGCCCACCAAGACGAUGAUACGUAGCCGACCUGAGAGGGUAAUCGGCCACAUUGGGACUGAGACACGGCCCAAACUCCUACGGGAGGCAGCAGUAGGGAAUCUUCCACAAUGGACGAAAGUCUGAUGGAGCAAUGCCGCGUGAGUGAAGAAGGGUUUCGGCUCGUAAAACUCUGUUGUUAAAGAAGAACACCUUUGAGAGUAACUGUUCAAGGGUUGACGGUAUUUAACCAGAAAGCCACGGGUAACUACGUGCCAGCAGCCGCGGUAAUACGUAGGUGGCAAGCGUUGUCCGGAUUUAUUGGGCGUAAAGCGAGCGCAGGCGG